rnacentral:rRNA from 1 species
AACGAACGCUGGCGGCAUGCCUAACACAUGCAAGUCGAACGAGACCUUCGGGUCUAGUGGCGCACGGGUGCGUAACGCGUGGGGACCUGCCCUUAGGUUCGGAAUAACUCCCCGAAAGGGGUGCUAAUACCGGAUAAUGUCUUCGGACCAAAGAUUUAUCGCCUUUGGAUGGGCCCGCGUUGGAUUAGCUAGUUGGUAGGGUAAAAGCCUACCAGGGCGACGAUCCAUAGCUGGUCUGAGAGGAUGAUCAGCCACACUGGGACUGAGACACGGCCCAGACUCCUACGGGAGGCAGCAGUGGGGAAUAUUGGACAAUGGGCGAAAGCCUGAUCCAGCAAUGCCGCGUGAGUGAUGAAGGCCUUAGGGUUGUAAAGCUCUUUUACCCGGGAUGAUAAUGACAGUACCGGGAGAAUAAGCUCCGGCUAACUCCGUG